rnacentral:rRNA from 1 species
CAAUAACGUAUAUUAAAAUUGUUGCGGUUAAAGAGCUCCUAAUUGGAUUUCUGCUGAGGACGAUCGGUCCGUCCUCUGGGUGAAUAUCUGGCUCGGCCUUGGCUCUGGAAAACGUAGCUGCACUUGACUGUGUGGCGCGGUAUCCAGGACUUUUACUUUGAGGCACGCCUUGAAUACAUUAGUCUGGAAUUAUAACAAAGGACCACGGUUCUAUUUUGUUGGUUUCUAGAGCUGAGGUAAUGUUUAAUAGGGAUAAUUGGGGGCAUUCGUAUUUAAUUGUCAGAAGUGAAGUUCUUGGAUUUGUUAAAAACGGACUACUGCGAAAGCAUCUGCCAAGGAUGUUUUCAUUAUUCAAGAACGAAAGUUAGGGGAUCGAAGAUGAUCAGAUACCGU